AAGACCUUGCACUUUUGGAGCGGCCGAUGUCUGAUUAGCUAGUUGGUGAGGUAAUGGCCUACCAAAGCUUCGAUCAGUAGCUGGUCUGAGAGGACGGCCAGCCACACUGGGACUGAGACACGGCCCAGACUCCUACGGGAGGCAGCAGUGGGGAAUUUUGGACAAUGGGCGCAAGCCUGAUCCAGCCAUGCCGCGUGAGUGAAGAAGGCCUUCGGGUUGUAAAGCUCUUUCAGCCGGGAAGAAAAGGUUGCGAUUAAUAAUCGCAAUUUAUGACGGUACCGGAAGAAGAAGCACCGGCUAACUACGUGCCAGCAGCCGCGGUAAUACGUAGGGUGCGAGCGUUAAUCGGAAUUACUGGGCGUAAAGGGUGCGCAGGCGGUUUUGUAAGUCAGAUGUGAAAUCCCCGGGCUUAACCUGGGAACU
rnacentral:rRNA from 1 species